rnacentral:rRNA from 1 species
ACGGUGAGGGAUGAAAGCUGGGGGAGCAAACCGGAUUAGAUACCCGGGUAGUCCCAGCUGUAAACUAUGCAAACUCAGUGAUGCAUUGGCUUGUGGCCAAUGCAGUGCUGCAGGGAAGCCGUUAAGUUUGCCGCCUGGGAAGUACGUACGCAAGUAUGAAACUUAAAGGAAUUGGCGGGGGAGCACCACAAGGGGUGAAGCCUGCGGUUCAAUUGGAGUCAACGCCA